UACGAAGGGGGCGAGCGUUGUUCGGAAUUACUGGGCGUAAAGGGCGCGUAGGCGGCCCCUUUUGUCGGGUGUGAAAGCCCCGGGCUCAACCUGGGAAUUGCAUUCGAGACUGCGUAGCUAGGGUGCGGAAGAGGGAAGCGGAAUUUCCGGUGUAGCGGUGAAAUGCGUAGAUAUCGGAAGGAACACCAGUGGCGAAAGCGGCUUCCUGGUCCAGCACCGACGUUCAGGCACGAAAGCGUGGGGAGCAAACAGG
rnacentral:rRNA from 1 species